rnacentral:rRNA from 1 species
UACGGAGGGUGCAAGCGUUGUCCGGAUUUAUUGGGUUUAAAGGGUGCGUAGGCGGUUUAGUAAGUCAGUGGUGAAAUCUCCGAGCUUAACUCGGAAACUGCCAUUGAUACUAUUUAUCUUGAAUUAUCUGGAGGUAAGCGGAAUAUGUCAUGUAGCGGUGAAAUGCUUAGAUAUGACAUAGAACACCGAUUGCGAAGGCAGCUUACUACGGAUAUAUUGACACUGAGGCACGAAAGCGUGGGGAUCAAACAGG